AAUAUCGUACGGGGAGCAGCAGUGGGGAAUAUUGGACAAUGGGGGCAAGCGUGAUCCAUCCAUGCCGAAAGACUGAUGAAGGCCCUAGGGUUGUAAAGCUCUUUCACCCGGGAAGAUAAUGACGGUACCCGGAGAAGAAGCCCCGGCUAACUUCGUGCCAGCAGCCGCGGUAAUACGAAGGGGGCUAGCGUUGUUCGGAUUUACUGGGCGUAAAGCGCACGUAGGCGGAUUUUUAAGUCAGGGGUGAAAUCCCGGGGCUCAACCCCGGAACUGCCUUUGAUACUGGAAGUCUUGAGUAUGGUAGAGGUGAGUGGAAUUCCGAGUGUAGAGGUGAAAUUCGUAGAUAUUCGGAGGAACCCCAGUGGAGAAGGCGGCCCACUGGCCCAUUACUGACGGAGAGGCGAGAAAGCGGGGGGAGCAAACAGGAUUAGAUCCCGGGGUAGUCCACCCCGUAAGCGAUGAAUGUUAGCCGGGGGCAGUUUACUCUUCAGUGGCGCAGCUAACGCAUAA
rnacentral:rRNA from 1 species